UUACCCCCAACCCCGUGCUCUCUGAGACAUGUGCUGUGUCAACUCAGGGUUAAAUGAAUUAAGGGCUGUGCAAGAUGUGCUUUGUUAAACAGAUGCUUGAAGGCAGCAUGCUCCUUAAGAGUCAUCACCACUCCCUAAUCUCAAGUGCCCAGGGACACAACCACUGUGGAAGGCCGCAGGGACCUCUGCCUAGGAAAGCCAGAGACCUUUGUUCACGUGUUUAUCUGCUGACCUUCUCUCCACUAUUAUCCCAUGACCCUGCCACAUCCCCCUCUCCGAGAAACACCCAAGAAUGAUCAAUAAAUACAAAGGGAACUCAGAGGCCGGCAGCAUCCUCCAUAUGCUGAAUGCAGGCCCAUAAGAUGUCCCGGCCUUUCCUUGAACCAGUAGACCCUAAUGAUGCACCAGAUUAUUAUGGUGUUAUUAAGGAACCUAUGGAUUGACCUUUGUAAAGAAGAAAAACAUGUUAGAAGAAAAAUGGAAAAGAACUCUGCAUGCCCUCAGCUCAGAUGCCAUCUCCUCUGGGAGCUCCUCUGGCCCCUGCCAAGGCUGGAUCAGAUGCCCUCAGGGCACACACGAUGCUGAUCCAGGGCCAUCUG
rnacentral:lncRNA from 10 species